CACCGACUUUGAUGAUUGCCUCGGCGAUUUAACAAUCGCUCCAUCAAUUCCCUUGGAUUGCUACUACCUUUCUAUAAUUGUGAGUAUGGAAUCUCUCUUUAUUUCUCUUUCCAAACACUCAUUAGUCUAACGUAGCCAUAACCAUACUUUUAUUUUUGAGUUCCUUGUUUCAGCUUGGUUUAUGGACUGAGAAUGAUAAUGCUUUAGAUGAUCAUUUUUCUGUUACGCGUUCACUAUGAACAUUUGCAACAUUAUUCUUACAAUUCAUAUUCUUAAUUUUAAGCUAGAGCAGCAAGUACUCGUAUAUGUGUUUGUGUUUAUAUGUUGUAUCAUCUAAAAUAUUACUACUCUAUUUAGCGUGAUUAAUGCAAUCUUGUUGCUCACCUGUUUGUUGGCUGUGUGUAAAUGAAUCUACUCAGUACUUAGGCCCUUGGGUUUAAGGCAAUAAGCUUCCUAAUAACUCCCACUGGAUAGAGUUGUUGUCCAAAUUAUAUUUGCAGAUACUGCUCUGUUAACAAAUACUAUUGUGCUCUGGUCGUGAGGAGAAAAUAUUAGUCACUGUUCGGCUUAGGCCACCUAGCCGGAGAGAACAAGCACUUUAUGAUCUAAUAGCUUGGGAAUACGUGGAUGACCACUCCAUUGUUUUCAACAGUCCAAAUCAUGACAGGGCUGUAACUUCAUACACCUUCGUUUUCGGGCCAAGUUGUGCAACUCGAAAGGUUUAUGAAGAAGGUGCCAAGGAUGUGGCUUUAUCUGCUCCCACAGGAAUGAAUGCAAUAAUUUUUGCAUAUGGGCAGACUAGUAGUGGUAAGACAUAUACCAUGAGAGGUAUCACAGAAAAUUCUGUAAAUGACAUUUAUGAACAUAUAAAAAAUAUGA